ensembl:lncRNA
CGACAAUACCGAGACGAUGCACUCGCCUGAUCCGUGAUCUCAUUUCUGUUCAUCGGUCUGAUUUAUUUCUCAUUUAUCUGGUGGUUCUGUAGCAGAAAUUACAUUCUGCGCCACAAUACCAUUCAGUUUCUAUGUUCAGAUUCGUAUCUCAGCGCAGAAAGAUUCAUGCCUUCGUGCUAAAACUGGGUUACAGCACAGCUUCUGCUUAUAUCUCAGCACUGAAACUAGGUUAUAGCAUAGCGCCGGUUAAAGCUGCAUCAUAACCAAGACCAGGACCGGUUUCUUUAUUCGAGAUUUCUUUGAGAUCCCGCCCCUUGAAGCAAAAAUCCACCUUCAAAGACUUGCAUAUAAUUCUUUGUAAUUGACAGUUCUAGUUUAAAUGUCUUUCACUGACAAAUAUUUGGCUAUAUUUAACGUUUUAACAUCAUUACAAUGGAUGCUAAUCAACCACAUGUUCCAUAUUUGCUAAUCAUGCGCUAAAACGUCAAGCCUUUAUUCAGUUAAGAGUAAAAUGCAACCACUCUCAGCAUAGAACCCUUGAGUUUAGAUUUACAAUGCCUAAACGGCACCAGGCUAGAACUAGUUUGUUAAUCCUUAACAAACUUCGCCAGCUUCAUUUCUUUUUACUGGGCAAAUAAACAAUUACUGCUGUGAUUAAGACUAAAACAACCGCAUAAGUAAUUAACGGCAAAUUUUAAAACGACUGAACAGUGACGUUACAGCUUUUUCUCGUUAUAUAUUUGAUUACAUUCAAUUUCAUUCAGCUCGUUGGUAAGACAUUGAUCCACACUACUCUGUCUACCAUUUACAGAGCUGUUAAACGAAAUAUGGCUCUGAAGUUGGCUAUUAUUUUUGCUAUAUUAGCAGUAAACCGUGCAUAAGUGCUUCAUUUAAACAGAUUUAAUAACAGAUUUCCGUCGUUAUAGCUUCGCUUUAGGGAUGUGUAACUGGGUGUGAUAGAACAGAAAGCCAGAGGUAGUAGGAAUCUAGUAUGAAUUUAUUUUAUUGGGGAGUCUUAAAAAAGGCAUCUGGUUUACACCCAGACAUUCUCAUAAAACCGGCAGACAGUACCAAACACUACCGGUCACAAAAGCAGGUCACAAAAUCACUAAGAACAAGGAGGACCUUUAGACUAUAGAACUCCGAAGACAAACAUAAGGGAGCAGUUUAGGAGUGCUGUGCAAAUCUAACCAAGACUUCGCCAACAAAUUAAGAUAUGCAUGCAAAGUUUCAGUGAGAUUUACUGAGUGGGUGGACCAGGAACUGUGGGAUAAUGAAGAACAUUAUGGAGAACUCUAAAAAGGAGAUGUUAUUAAUGUUAAUCAUAUAUGGUAGUCUCAGUGACCUGAUGAUAGAGACCAGUGGUGAAGGGGUGUGUGAUUAUGGUCAACAAAGCAGAAACCACUGUGGGAAGAAAUGAAGUGGCCUAGGACACCAAAAGACCAACAUCAUUCAUUAAUUGUGAGUCAGCAAAGAUGUCAAAUGGAGAAGCUUGAGCUAGAGGAGCAACAAAGGCAGAGGUUGGAGGAGAUGUCGAGCAAAUGCUAAUGAACAAGGUUGACUAUAAGCAACCAGGUAGACAAACAGCUAGCAGAGUGGCCAUCCGGAGCGAGUAGGAAGGUAAACUGCAACAUGACAGUGGCCAGUGUCAAAGGGUCUACUGUGUCGGGGGUCAGCAAAGAAGUAAUUAGCAUGGGAGAAGACGAAGUAGUAGAAGUAUGAGAAGCUGAAGAAACUGGAGCAGCCUCAGAUACAAAUGGACUAGCAUAUGGGAGAAUGGAGAGGAUGGAGCUUGAGGAAAAUUCAAAACCAGAAGCAGGGGUUCACUGUCUCAGCAAGGGGCAGUGAACAAGGCUGUGGCUGUGAUUGAAUUCAGUGAAGAAGGAAGGUUCUGGUUCAGUGAUCUAUUUCCGCAAAUGUAGGAGGAUAACGGAGUCCAGGGAUGAGGGAUCACCCUAACCAGAGCAGCUAAAAAAAACUGGACCAGCAGGGAAGACCAAUGGACCAGCAAAGGCUGAAGAUGAAUAUAAUGGUAACGACGACGAAAAAGAUGUGGAAGUGGAACCAAGUGGAAACGUGGUUCUGUGGAAGCCAGGAGUGGAAAUCCUGUUCUCUAUAGGCAAUAUGUCUAUGACAGGGACUUGGACAAGGAGUCAUUAAUCGUGGUCCAGACUGGGAACAAAAAGUAUACUGGCAGGAUAACUGAUAAAGUGCUGUGAAAAAGUAUUUGCCCCAUUCU